GUGGCCUUAGUUUAGUGGCAGAAUAGGGGACUGUGGAUCCUCUGGCGCGAGUUCGAUUCUCGCAGGCCACCCCA
rnacentral:tRNA from 1 species